ACUCCUACGGGAGGCAGCAGUGGGGAAUAUUGCACAAUGGGCGCAAGCCUGAUGCAGCCAUGCCGCGUGUAUGAAGAAGGCCUUCGGGUUGUAAAGUACUUUCAGCAGUGAGGAAGGUGGGUAUGUUAAUAGCAUAUCAUUGAUCGUUAUGCUGCAGAAGAAGCACCGGCUAACUCCGUGCCAGCAGCCGCGGUAAUACGGAGGGUGCGAGCGUUAAUCGGAAUUACUGGGCGUAAAAGCGUGCGCAGGCGGUUUUGUUAAGCGAGAUGUGAAAGCCCGGCU
rnacentral:rRNA from 1 species